rnacentral:rRNA from 1 species
GGGGAAUAUUGGGCAAUGGAGGAAACUCUUACCCAGCAAUGCCGCGUGAGUGAAUGAAGGUCUUCGGAUUGUAAAGCUCUUUGAUCGGGGACGAAUAAAUGACGGUACCCGAGGAACAAGCCCCGGCUAACUAUGUGCCAGCAGCCGCGGUAAUACAUAGGGGGCAAGCGUUGUCCGGAAUGACUGGGCGUAAAGGGUGUGUAGGCGGUUUCGCAAGUUGGAAGUGUAAUACCUAGAGCUUAACUCAGGUGCUGCUUCCAAAACUGCGGGACUUGAGUGUCGGAGAGGAAAAUGGAAUUCCUAGUGUAGCGGUGGAAUGCGUAGAUAUUAGGAGGAACACCAGAGGCGAAAGCGAUUUUCUGGACGAUAACUGACGCUGAGGCACGAAAGCGUGGGGAGCAAAC